ensembl:lncRNA
GAGUAAUCAAGUACAAUGACUAAGCUGCCUUGGACAGUUCCUGUUUUCUAUUCUGCCUCCCACUUCAUCUCUCCAUCUCCCUGACCACAAGGAUUCAACCACUAACCUGCAUGCAUAUCUGCAUACUGAUGAAGAAAGAAAAAAAGAAAAAAAGAAAAAAAAAAAAAAGGAAAGGAAAGGAAAGAAAAAAGAGAAGGACAAAUUGCAGCAGCAUUAAGUAUAAUCUGAUAGCUGAAUGGAAUGGGGAGUUCCUUGUUCAUCCAGACUGGUCUUCUGCCCUUCUUGCUUGACUUGUGACACAAGAGACUUGCCUGUUCCUGCACUUCUUAUAAGGUGAUUCUCAAAAAAUGACCAACUCUUAUGGACCAGUAAAGCCUCUGGAACAGAUUCCCAGGGGCCACUGCUAACUAGAUCCCUGAGUAGCUUAAAGUUUUCUCCCUUAAUGUCCAGAAUAGUAAUUCUGCCAAUUUUUUUUCUCCUUACACCAAAAAUGUUGAACUCAACUGUUUUAUGAGCACUGUGGCCAGGACAGCCACCUACCACCACCUCUCCCACAAGAUCUUCUCUAUUCUCAAACAGCAAAUUCCUAGUUGUCUCACCCAGUGCUUGUGAUUGGAAGUUACCUUCAACAUGCUUUAGGAAUUUCCCAGGCUUGUUUAUCAUGAAAGGCAAAUAAGAUGACCUUCUUCUCUGAACUGCCUCUGAGGUGGAUGUUGGCGGGAUGUCAGCAGAGGUUGAAUGUUCCCACCAAUAUUCAGUUACACAUUCUUGUCAUGGGACAAAUGGCAGCAGAAGGG